rnacentral:rRNA from 1 species
GACAGAGGGUGCAAACGUUGUUCGGAAUUACUGGGCGUAAAGCGAGUGUAGGCGGUUCGGUAAGUCGGAUGUGAAAGCCCCGGGCUCAACCCGGGAAGUGCACUCGAUACUGCCGAGCUAGAGUGUCGGAGAGGUUGGUGGAAUUCUCGGUGUAGAGGUGAAAAUUCGUAGAUAUCGAGAGGAACACCGGUGGCGAAGGCGGCCAACUGGACGAACACUGACGCUGAGACUCGAAAGCGUGGGGAGCAAACAGG